rnacentral:rRNA from 1 species
GGGUAACCUGCCUGUAAGACUGGGAUAACUCCGGGAAACCGGAGCUAAUACCGGAUAGUUCCUUGAACCGCAUGGUUCAAGGAUGAAAGACGGUUUCGGCUGUCACUUACAGAUGGACCCGCGGCGCAUUAGCUAGUUGGUGAGGUAACGGCUCACCAAGGCGACGAUGCGUAGCCGACCUGAGAGGGUGAUCGGCCACACUGGGACUGAGACACGGCCCAGACUCCUACGGGAGGCAGCAGUAGGGAAUCUUCCGCAAUGGACGAAAGUCUGACGGAGCAACGCCGCGUGAGUGAUGAAGGUUUUCGGAUCGUAAAGCUCUGUUGUUAGGGAAGAACAAGUGCAAGAGUAACUGCUUGCACCUUGACGGUACCUAACCAGAAAGCCACGGCUAACUACGUGCCAGCAGCCGCGGUAAUACGUAGGUGGCAAGCGUUGUCCGGAAUUAUUGGGCGUAAAGGGCUCGCAGGCGGUUUCUUAAGUCUGAUGUGAAAGCCCCCGGCUCAACCGGGGAGGGUCAUUGGAAACUGGGAAACUUGAGUGCAGAAGAGGAGAGUGGAAUUCCACGUGUAGCGGUGAAAUGCGUAGAGAUGUGGAGGAACACCAGUGGCGAAGGCGACUCUCUGGUCUGUAACUGACGCUGAGGAGCGAAAGCGUGGGGAGCGAACAGGAUUAGAUACCCUGGUAGUCCACGCCGUAAACGAUGAGUGCUAAGUGUUAGGGGGUUUCCGCCCCUUAGUGCUGCAGCUAACGCAUUAAGCACUCCGCCUGGGGAGUACGGUCGCAAGACUGAAACUCAAAGGAAUUGACGGG